GCUAAUACCGCAUACGUCCUACGGGAGAAAGCAGGGGAUCUUCGGACCUUGCGCUAUCGGAUGAGCCUAUGUCGGAUUAGCUAGUUGGUGAGGUAACGGCUCACCAAGGCGACGAUCCGUAGCUGGUCUGAGAGGAUGAUCAGCCACACUGGGACUGAGACACGGCCCAGACUCCUACGGGAGGCAGCAGUGGGGAAUAUUGGACAAUGGGGGAAACCCUGAUCCAGCCAUGCCGCGUGUGUGAAGAAGGCCUUCGGGUUGUAAAGCACUUUCAGCGAGGAAGAAGGCCUGAGGAAGAAGGCCUGAGGGCUAAUACCCUUCAGGAAGGACAUCACUCGCAGAAGAAGCACCGGCUAACUCCGUGCCAGCAGCCGCGGUAAUACGGAGGGUGCGAGCGUUAAUCGGAAUUACUGGGCGUAAAGCGCGCGUAGGUGGCUUGAUAAGCCGGUUGUGAAAGCCCCGGGCUCAACCUGGGAACGGCAUCCGGAACUGUCAGGCUAGAGUGCAGGAGAGGAAGGUAGAAUUCCCGGUGUAGCGGUGAAAUGCGUAGAGAUCGGGAGGAAAUACCAGUGGCGAAGGCGGCC
rnacentral:rRNA from 1 species